GUGGCGCGGCUCAGUGGUAGAGCACUUGCCUUGCAUGCCUGAGGCCCUGGGUUCAAUUCCUCAGCACCACA
rnacentral:tRNA from 1 species